rnacentral:rRNA from 1 species
AACGAACGCUGGCGGCAGGCUUAACACAUGCAAGUCGAACGCGUGUAGCAAUACACGAGUGGCGCACGGGUGAGUAACGCGUGGAUAUCUGCCUUUUGGUUCGGAAUAACCCCGGGAAACUGGGGCUAAUACCGGAUGGUUCCUUCGGGAUAAAGAUUUAUCGCCAAAAGAUGAGUCCGCGUCCGAUUAGCUAGUUGGUGAGGUAAUGGCUCACCAAGGCGACGAUCGGUAGCUGGUCNGAGAGGACGAUCAGCCACACUGGGACUGAGACACGGCCCAGACUCCUACGGGAGGCAGCAGUGGGGAAUAUUGGACAAUGGGGGCAACCCUGAUCCAGCCAUGCCGCGUGAGUGAUGAAGGCCUUC